CGUGUAGGCGGUCAGGUAAGUGGGACGUGAAAUGCCCCGGCUCACCCGAGGAGCGGCGUCCCAUACUGCUUGGCUUGAGUACGGGAGAGGAUGUGGGAAUUCCUGGUGUAGCGGUGAAAUGCGUAGAUAUCAGGAGGAACACCGGUGGCGAAGGCGCACAUCUGGCCCGAUACUGACGCUGAGGCGCGAAAGCUAGGGAGCAAACG
rnacentral:rRNA from 1 species